rnacentral:snoRNA from 1 species
GGGCCACGGAAACCGCGCGCGGUGAUCAAUGAGCCGCGUUCGCUCCCGUGGCCCACAA